rnacentral:rRNA from 1 species
ACAACCAUGGGAAACUGUGGCUAAUACCGCAUACGCCCUUGGACCAGGGAUGGUCCUUGGGGAAAGAUUUAUUGCCGUUGGAGGGGCCCGCGUCGGAUUAGGUAGUUGGUGGGGUAAAGGCCUACCAAGCCUGCGAUCCGUAGCUGGUCUGAGAGGAUGAUCAGCCACACUGGGACUGAGACACGGCCCAGACUCCUACGGGAGGCAGCAGUGGGGAAUAUUGGACAAUGGGGGCAACCCUGAUCCAGCAAUGCCGCGUGAGUGAAGAAGGCCUUAGGGUUGUAAAUCUCUUUCACCGGGGAAGAUAAUGACGGUACCCGGAGAAGAAGCCCCGGCUAACUCCGUGCCAGCAGCCGCGGUAAUACGGAGGGGGCUAGCGUUGUUCGGAAUUACUGGGCGUAAAGCGCGCGUAGGCGGCUCGUCUAGUUGGGCGUGAAAGCCCGGGGCUCAACCCCGGAAUUGCGUUCAAUACUGGCGAGCUGGA